GUCUCAAAGAUUAAGCCAUGCAUGUGUAAGUAUAAAUAGUUAACUUUGAAACUGCGAAUGGCUCAUUAUAUCAGUUAUAGUUUAUUUGAUGAAAUGUACUAAUUGGAUAACCGUAGUAAUUCUAGAGCUAAUACAUGUUCAAAGUCUUGUAGACAGCAUUUAUUAGAAUGAAAACCAUAGGUUUCGGCCUAUUCGUGAGUAAUAAUAACUAAUCAUAUCGUAUGCUUAAGUAACGAUGUGUCUUUCAAGUUUCUGCCCUAUCAGCUUUCGAUGGUAGUGUAUUGGACUACCAUGGCAGUAACGGGUAACGAAGAAUUUGGGUUCGAUUUCGGAGAGGGAGCCUGAGAGAUGGCUACCACAUCCUAGGAAGGCAGCAGGCGCGUAAAUUACCCAAUCCUGACACAGGGAGGUAGUGACAAUAAAUCACAAUGCGGAACAAUGUUUUGCAAUUGGAUUGAGAACAACGUACAAACCUUAUCGAUAAACAAUUGGAGGGCAAGUCUGGUGCCAGCAGCCGCGG
rnacentral:rRNA from 1 species